rnacentral:rRNA from 1 species
AUUGAACGCUGGCGGCAUGCUUUACACAUGCAAGUCGAACGGUAACAGGCCGCAAGGUGCUGACGAGUGGCGAACGGGUGAGUAAUGCAUCGGAACGUGCCCAGUCGUGGGGGAUAACGCAGCGAAAGCUGUGCGAAUACCGCAUACGAUCUAUGGAUGAAAGCGGGGGACCGUAAGGCCUCGCGAGAUUGGAGCGGCCGAUGUCAGAUUAGGUAGUUGGCGGGGUAAAGGCCUACCAAGCCGACGAUCUGUAGCUGGUCUAAGAGGACGAACAGCCACACCGGGACAGGUACACGGGCCAGACUCCUACGGGAGGCAGCAGUGGGGAAUUUUGGACAAUGGGCGCAAGCCUGAUCCAGCAAUGCCGCGUGCAGGAAGAAGGCCUUCGGGUUGUAAAUUGCUUUUGUACGGAACGAAACGGCCUGGGUUAAUACCCUGGGCUAAUGACGGUACCGUAAGAAUAAGCACCGGCUAACUACGUGCCAGCAGCCGCGGUAACAC